rnacentral:rRNA from 1 species
CCUACGGAUGGCUGCAGUGGGGAAUAUUGGACAAUGGGCGAAAGCCUGAUCCAGCCAUGCCGCGUGUGUGAAGAAGGCCUUCGGGUUGUAAAGCACUUUCAGUGGGGAAGAAAGCCUUGGGGCUAAUACCCUCGAGGAAGGACAUCACCCACAGAAGAAGCACCGGCUAACUCCGUGCCAGCAGCCGCGGUAAUACGGAGGGUGCGAGCGUUAAUCGGAAUUACUGGGCGUAAAGCGCGCGUAGGCGGUCUGAUAAGCCGGUUGUGAAAGCCCCGGGCUCAACCUGGGAACGGCAUCCGGAACUGUCAGGCUAGAGUGCAGGAGAGGAGGGUAGAAUUCCCGGUGUAGCGGUGAAAUGCGUAGAGAUCGGGAGGAAUACCAGUGGCGAAGGCGGCCUUCUGGACUGACACUGACGCUGAGGUGCGAAAGCGUGGGUAGCAAACAGGAUUAGAUACCCCAGUAGUC